UACGAAGGGGGCUAGCGUUGCUCGGAAUCACUGGGCGUAAAGCGCACGUAGGCGGGUUGCUAAGUCGGGUGUGAAAUCUCGGAGCUUAACUCCGAAACUGCAUUCGAUACUGCCGUGCUUGAGGACUGGAGAGGAGACUGGAAUUUACGGUGUAGCGGUGAAAUGCGUAGAUAUCGUAAGGAAGACCAGUGGCGAAGGCGGGUCUCUGGACAGUUACUGACGCUGAGGCACGAAGGCCAGGGGAGCAAACGGG
rnacentral:rRNA from 1 species